GAUCGUUGCCGCUGUGUGCAAGGCUAGAUCAGUCUCGUGUCGGAUACUCGAUCGCUACCGUUGUGGGCAUGUUUAGCGUUUCUAUGUGACAGAAGUGACCCGUUGGUGAUCGAGCAUUGAGAACUGAAAAUGGCAACCCCAGUUAUCCUUGUCAUCAACCCAGAUGCCCCUGCAAAACGUCAACAGGCUGUACUGGUGGUGACUAAAGAGGCCUGUUGCUUUCGGGAGAAAAUAAUGGUCUUCCCCAGACCUCCACAGGAGCUGCUGAACAAGGCCACUGCCCUGACCCAUGCAGAGAAUCUCCUUUGAGCAGAUGGCAUCCCUGACCAUCGCAUCAGCUGUGCUUGGGAAAGCUGGUGGUGCUAUACGGCCAGUAUGAGAAUGCCCCGUUCUGCUGGCUUAUGUCAAACACUGUGGGCUACAUGAAAUACAUAAUUGAUAAGCACAGGUCAGAGGUAACAAACCCGCAUAGGAAGGCAGAGAUACUGAAUGAGUGGGUGAAAGACUUCCUCACAGAAUAUACAGAGGGCUUCCCACCUGGCCAUUGAGAAGCUGAAAGGUCACGCUGGACUGGACGAGAAUGGAGUGAGCCUCUUCAAAACACCUGAGGCCAUUGAUGAGACGUGGGCAGCCCAGCAGCGACACCUGGAGUGCAUUCAGGAUCCACCAGAUAUGAACAUGUAUAGGGUGGCACGUACCACAACCUUCAACAAUGUGGACAUGCCCUACUAUAAAUGUUCACGGCCCUAUCAGGUUUAUCUGAUAAGUGGCAUUGCACGGUGGAACUCAGACAGGACCUUGGAUGCUGGGUUUGAUGGCGAAGGAUGGCAUCACAGGAUUUAUUCUGCACCACUGAUUGACCACCUCAACACCUGCUGUCGGCACCUGUUCGGAGAGACUGUGGAGGAGAACGUCUGGGCCCCUGCUGAUGUCCCUCCCAAGAGCCGCUUGGGUUAGAGUACCUGUUCAGCCAGAGUACGGUCAAAACCUUCUCUCUCCAGGACAUUGUCAAAGAUGGACCCAGUCCAGAGGAGGAGAUGGUUCAUCCUGAGCAGCCCGAUCCAGGUGAAGCUGACGAGGCGUACUACAGCGACGUGGAGGCAAAUGGUGAUGCACUGGAUGCAGACUUGCUUCACAUCACGCUCACUAGUGACGAAACCUCCACUGUUCACUCUCCAGCCUUUGAGGAGGCCUGCAGUCCAAACCCUCUUCCUGGCUUUCAAAAGCUGGAAAUGUUCUGCUCUUUGCUAUUGGAGAUUGGCCUGAGAGGACAAGCUGUCACUUACAACUGAGCAGAGGAACAGGGUCCUUGAAGCCUGGAAUGCAGUGGAAGAGUAUGACAAGCAGGCACCAUGUUUUAACCAGUUGUACAGAACACACUGGAGCAAUAACCUCUAUUGCCGCAGGAAAAGGGAUGAUCUUGUUGAUGCUGCUGUGAUACAGAGGGUGAAGAUGGCCAAGUGUUACACACCAGGACAACAGGACAUCAGUGCUCAGAACAACAGGCUGAUGUACAUGCUGGUGAAACUGUUGUGGUUAUGAUCACCUCAAGGGUUUCGCACCAGCCCUGAAAAGAGAGCCACCCUGAAGGUGUACGAGCGAAUCCAGCAACAGAUAUUGGUGGAGGAUCCAGUCCUGCGCAAGGCCUCUACCAAAAAUUAACAUCAAGACUGUGUGGGACUUCAUACGUCGCCAAGAGAGGGUCCUCAACCUGCAUGCCACAAAACAGCCAGCCACAAUCACAAAUGAGUUGUAAAUAUGCUGUAAUGUCUUUGUAAAUAUGUGAAUGUAUGGUUACAUGGUACAUACAGUAAAUAUUUUUCAUUUUUAUGACCUUUCAUUCUAAGUCAUGUUCAGUGAUACCUUUCAAAUUGUCUAAACCAAGGGUAUCAGACUCAACCAGUAAAUCUCAUCACAUCUGUGAGCCAGAGAAAUUUUUUUAUCUUUUUUUUUUAAUUAGUGUUGUGCUAUAACCCGAACUGGCCAUUGUUUAUUCAAAAUAUGCAAAAUAUCAGACGCUUGCAAGUAAACCUUGAAAUAUUCCAAAUUUAAAUGUCCUUAGGAGCUCUGUCUUUUAAACCUACCUAUCUGCUUGGUCUAGACACCUAGCAUCCUUUGCUGCAAGGUCAUUAAAUUACAUUACUUUUGUGGGCCAGAUACAUUUGUGUGGUGGGCCUUGCGUUUGACAUAUAGGGUCUAAACUAUACUGCUAUGGUGUGUUGUCAGUAGUUUAUUUAAUAAGACGAUCUGGAGGAAAAAGAAAUCAUUAUCUGUGAAUAAGUGCAUCUCAUUGGACCAAUUGUAAAUAUUUUAAUGACACUUUAUAGUCUAAGUGCAAGAAACAUUU